rnacentral:rRNA from 1 species
AUUGAACGCUGGCGGCAGGCUUAACACAUGCAAGUCGAGCGGAGUGAUGGUGCUUGCACUAUCACUUAGCGGCGGACGGGUGAGUAAUGCUUAGGAAUCUGCCAUUUAGUGGGGGACAACAUUCCGAAAGGAAUGCUAAUACCGCAUACGUCCUACGGGAGAAAGCAGGGGAUCUUCGGAACUUGCGCUAAAUGAUGAGCCUACGUCGGAUUAGCUAGUUGGUGGGGUAAAGGCCUACCAAGGCGACGAUCUGUAGCGGGUCUGAGAGGAUGAUCCGCCACACUGGGACUGAGACACGGCCCAGACUCCUACGGGAGGCAGCAGUGGGGAAUAUUGGACAAUGGGCGGAAGCCUGAUCCAGCCAUGCCGCGUGUGUGAAGAAGGCCUUUUGGUUGUAAAGCACUUUAAGCGAGGAGGAGGCUACUAGUACUAAUACUACUGGAUAGUGGACGUUACUCGCAGAAUAAGCACCGGCUAACUCUGUGCCAGCCGCCGCCGUAACAC